UUUAACCUGGGAGCAGUAAAAAGGAGAAGCAGAAGAGUUUUAAGCAUGGAUGGGAUGCCAGUUAUCAACUUCUUGCCUCUCAACUCCUAAUCUACCCUCCACUGGCCGGCUUGAGAUACUGGAGAUGGAUCCUGUAAACAUUUUCUUUUGCUAGUAGAGGCUGCAGGACGGACACUGAAGAAGGAAAGGGCUUGUUCCUGGUUGCAGUGAGAUUUCUCUGUUUCUUGAUCCUAUAGUACUCCUCUGGUAUGAGAGAUGCUAGUAUCAGUGGCGCUCAUGUCCAGAAAGUUUCAGAGGCAACCUGAAGGGUAACUUCUUAGCAAGUUCCAUGGAUGCCUCAGUCAGUUUCCCAGCAUGUACAGCAGCAGCACCCCCCCACCGCCUUCCAGGUGGCUUCCUGGUGGCUCUUCAGUGAGUCCUACUGAUGCUGCAGUUUCUCAAUGUGUUCAAAAGCAUGCCCCAUGGGCAGCUUCCCCACAAGUUUUUCUAGCACGUGAAUAUAGAUGGUUUCCUGUCUGCCAGUCUCAACCUGGCAGUAUCAGAACAGGAGACUUCCAGCUUGCCAGCCUCACCCCAUAGCUCUCUGCCUGCUAACCUCCACCUCCCAACUGUGGAAUAGCUCUGGUUAAAGCUACUUUAUGACCACGAGGGAUGUGGCACACGAGAGAAUAAAUCACCACCAUGGAGAUGAAUGGAGAGCAGAUAAACGAUGGCUUCAUAGGUUCGCUGGAAGGUGAAGGAAAUGUCUAGAGAAAUUGAAAGUGAGGUGACAUCAUUGGCAAUGGAGUAACAGCCAGGAUUCAACAGGAUCAGGAUGAGGGCUCUACUUAGAAAAUCCUCCACAUUCAUUGGUAUUGCAUAACUAAUUUCGUAGUUUUGGAAAACCAAAGAGUUGCCUCAAAUGAAGAAAAAAAGCCAGAAAUUCCAAGAUGACCUGACAAGGAAGCUCUUGGCAUGCCUUGAUCUUUUUUCCACCCAUCCAACAUGCAUGCAUUCAGAUGCAUAUACUCUGGAGUGGAGGAUCCUGUCUGCAGAAAGAGAAGGUUGUUCCACAAGUGCAGAGAGGAAGCAGAGAGCUGGAGCUUGUCAUGCUGGAGAAGGACAAUGGACAGAGCAACUUUCUUGAUUCCAAAUGUGUUCCUGCCCCUGCUCACAAGACCUGCUGCAGUUCACACCCUCAGUUUCCAUGAGCUAUACAGCAUUCCUUUGAUUCGAAAAGUCUCCCUUUUUGAGUUAAUCCAUUCUUAUUGAGCUUCUAUUACUUGCAAUCAAAAGAGUAGAUCUAAGAGAAGGUAUGUCUCCCCUGUACUCUAACAGGCCAUGACUGACUUCUUCCACUCCUGGCAUUUGCUAUUUCUCCUGUUAUUGCAGAUGCUUGACUUGCUAUUUCUGUUCUUGUUGCAUUUUCCUGAAAUGGAGAAAUAGCCUUCCUUUGGCCAUUAUAGACUCCGGGGAGUCUACAGAGUGCUUGGCAUCUCGCUCUGGCAUCUUUUGAAAGAUGUUUAAUGACAUUUUUCUUGCCUUCAACUGGCUUUUUGAAAUUCCAGCCUCUUUCCAUGGUGUAGCCUCCCUGGAGCAGGGUGGCUGGGACAUGAGAGAACACACUGGGCUGCUUUGUAAGUGUUCUCUCUGUUAUGUCUACCAUACAGUGCUUGGAGACUAUGUGGACUCAACUUUCUCUCCACUCAAACACCUUCAGUAUUCAAGAUCCUUCCUGGAGGGUGAAGGAGUCGCAUUGUCUCUGACUUUGGGAGACUCUUAGUUCUGGCUGUUGGAAAGGACUUGUGCUGGGUAUUUUGUACUUGCCUCUCAGGUCUACUGUCUACACUUCUUCGUGCUGCACUGGGCUUUAGGAGGCCGAUCCACAUGGACUGCAUGCAUGGGCUCCCUUCCCCUCUGGCUCCUGAGUAGGCCUGACCAAGAGGGCACACUGACAGGAGAUUGGAUGAAGGGAGGGAGGAGAGAGAGACUAGGGUGUUCACUUCCCCUGCUCACUUCCUAGGGUUGUCAUUGGCUGACUGCUUCCCUCAGGUGAAGGUGACAGCUCUGAGAGGCGGCCCUUUCCAUGGAGUCCUCUCUGUCACAGUAACUGCUCUCCCCCUUACCUUUCCAAGUCUAGGGAUGGUAACAAGACCCAACCAUCACCCUAGAUAUCACAUCAUCCUUUAAAAUCUCCCUAUCCCCUGCCCACAUCUGUAAACUCUUUUAAGCUUACACCAUUUGAAUGUGUUUCUCUUUCCUGAUGGGACCCCAACCCAUACAGAGCCUUGACCUUAACGUGACCAGUCUGCCCCAUUAAAGGCUCUGGAAGCCCGGGGAGCCUACUGAUUCUUGCUUUACCCAUUCUCAGGGAAUGCCAUGCUUGACUAAAUUUUUUGGUUUAGACACAGACACCGAGACUCUUGUUAUCAGCUUUCUGUUACUUUCUCCUUUUGCAUAGUCCAGUGAUUUUCAACCUUGAAUAUAAACCAGAACCACCAUAGUUUCUUCCUGUUAAUUUGAGCCUAUCCUGUCUUUUUUAUUAUGGUAUAAUUAUUCCAAGUCAGAAGCAAUCCCUUUUCUUUUGAUUCAUACCUUCCUACAACGCCUACUACAGGGUCAUGCACACAGUAGAUUUAACAAAACAUAUAAACUUAGUGAUUGUGUACUCUAGAUGAAGUUCAAAGGAAGAUUAAAAUUCUUUUUUGACACACUAUUAAUAAUUGUUUCUUAUACACUAGUAUAUACUAAGAUGUUUUAGAGAAAAGAAGAUAGCUACAAUUGUUGUUGAUGAAAUCAGUUUUCAAAAUGUCAUUCACUGUAUUUGUCCAAAGAUUUCAUGAAAAUGAAAAUUUUAUCUCUGAGUGUCCACUUGAAAAUCAGCUGAUGUGUGUACAGACAGAUGAUAUUCAUGUGAAUAAAACUAAACAUAUGUGUUAUCUCUCAAAUUUUCUUCUUAGAAUUUCAAAAAAUUGCUCAAGUUUGUGAAUACAAAGUGAAAGAAACAACCAAUAAAUCAGAG
rnacentral:lncRNA from 10 species